GACGAACGCUGGCGGCGUGCUUAACACAUGCAAGUCGAACGGAAAGGCCCUGCUUUUGUGGGGUGCUCGAGUGGCGAACGGGUGAGUAACACGUGAGUAACCUGCCCUUGACUUUGGGAUAACUUCAGGAAACUGGGGCUAAUACCGGAUAGUAGCUCCUGCUGCAUGGUGGGGGUUGGAAAGUUUCGGCGGUUGGGGAUGGACUCUCGGCUUAUCAGCUUGUUGGUGGGGUAGUGGCUUACCAAGGCUUUGCCGGGUAGCCGGCCUGAGAGGGUGACCGGCCACAUUGGGAAUGAGAUACGGCCCAGACUCCUACGGGAGGCAACAGUGGGGAAUAUUGCACAAUGGGCGGAAGACUGAUGCAGCGACGCCGCGUGCGGGAUAACGGCCUUCGGGUUGUGAACCGCUUUCGCCUGUGACGAAGAGUGAGUGACGGUAAUGAGUAAAGAAGCACCGGCUAACUACGUG
rnacentral:rRNA from 1 species